UACUUUAAUCAUCAGGUAUAAAACCGUAUUUCGUAGUCGGUUUAUCGCACUGCUCCUUCCGACCAAAAUAAGUUUUGGGUGUAGCAGAUCCUAAGGGUCCUUGAACAAGUCACGACUAUGAAGGUACAAGAACUGCUGUUCGUGCUGGCGGCUGUCUUGAUCACCAUGGCAACCGCAGAGCCCACGGCUAGAUACCCGUGCACCGGUCUUUCCCGUUACAUGCCAUACGACAUCGACCCGCAUCGCUACGUCCUGUGUGACGACAUCUACGGUCCGCUCAUCCUCUUCUGUCCUGUCAACCACGUCUGGGAACAGUCCCUCCAGACGUGCGUGCCAUCCGUUGACGUGGUGAUUCCCGUGGAUACUACGCGGCUUCCAUUCGACAUUGGUACCGAAACCGGCCCCGGCAUCCUCAUUUCCACUGGGUAUGCGGCCCCGUGCACCCAGCAAAACAUCGUACUGAACAAGUUGCUCUUCGCGUAUACUUAUGAUGAGACAAAGUAUAUCCGUUGCGACCGGUCGGGGGAUGCUUACCUUAAGUCCUGCCCGAUAGGCUUCCACUUCCAUGCCGAAUUCCUCAACUGCCUUUAAUCUCUGAACAAUUCUUCGUGCCCGGAAUCAGGGAAAGUUCUAAGUGUAUGAAAUAGAAUAGAUGAUUUACUAUUUUAACUUCAGACGAAUUAAAAGUGUAAUGAACUGUACACGCUAGUAAAAAGAUUAAUAUUA
rnacentral:lncRNA from 1 species